rnacentral:rRNA from 1 species
UACGGGGGGUGCAAGCGUUGCUCGGAAUCACUGGGCGUAAAGCGUCCGCAGGCGGAUCAGUAGGUCGGUCGUGAAAGCCCGGGGCUCAACCCCGGAACUGCGAUCGAAACCGCUAGUCUAGAGUCCGGGAGAGGGGGGUGGAAUUCCUGGUGUAGAGGUGAAAUUCGUAGAUAUCAGGAGGAACACCGGUGGCGAAAGCGGCCCCCUGGCCCGAAACUGACGCUCAUGGACGAAAGCGUGGGGAGCAAACAGG